UUUAAAUUUAUAGCAAUAACAAAAAGAGUCGAUACUGGGGAUGAGUGCUGACACUGUUGUAAGUGGGUAGUGGGGAAGAUGGGAUACAUAAGACUAUUUCAUUUAUAUCUGUAAGCAAUGACAAACCAUUGCUGAUGAAAGACGAUUCCGAGCGCAGUUCGGUAAUACAUAAUUUAAAGUGCCGUAAUUUUUUUUAACCUAACCUUCUUACGUUUUUUCCCGAUUAUUAUGAAAACUAAUACAAAAAUCAAAAAACCGAACUGCAUCAUUAAAAACAAGAUUAAUAAUUCAACAAAAAAGGUCCCUUGUCGUUUUUCAAUUGGAUUCAUAUUUGUGCUAGAAAACGUGGUAGGUACUUAUUUAAAAUAACGAAAUCGUGAAAAAAUCGCAUUUCUUUUCCCGGUUAAUUUUUUUUAUUUUAAAUAUCGUUUCGAAAAUCAAAAAAAAUUUCGUUCGUGUUUUUAUAAAAUAAUGAAAUCGUGAAAUUUGACGUUUUUUCCCACUUAAGUGCUUUUAUUUAAAAUAUGACGUCUUUAAAAUACCAUCCAGACAACAUGAGCUUUCUAAAAAAAUUACUAGGAAAAAAUGUGUCAACAGACUAAAAGAAAAAAUAAACAUCUUAGUACAAAUAAUAGCUCCCUCGCUACGCACGAAAUCUAAAAUGUAAAUAUUAAAAAAAAGCUAAAUUUCAAAUAAUUGAAAUGCAGAAUAAGAAUUUAACUUAGAAAACUUUAAACUGCUCUCCUGAAAAAUUAUUUCUUUCUUCGUUGAGAACAUCGAAGUAUAAAAACUAGAUAGCUAACUCCGUAUACAAUAUUACGUUGCCUAGCGCUAUUUGUCAUUUGGGAAAUGUUUUCAAAUUUUUAUAAUUUGUAUGCUGUCCUAAUCACAGACAAAUAUAUUUAUGAACUACAUAAUACAUAUUAUAAUUGACUAGGUAUAUAAAGAUUAUAUUAUUUUUUUGCAAUAAACUUUUGACUGAGAACAUUUUUUUCUGGAUCAAAUCGUAUUUAGUGAAUUAGAUUGUCAUAAGUAUUUUAGAAAGACCCCCCCAGAAGUUGAUAUUAACUACUUCAUUAACCAAAAAGUACCCGAGUGUCAGACUUAAAUCGUUAGGAAAAACAUUUUCAAAC